AGAAUCAACGCUGGCGGCGUGCCUAACACAUGCAAGUCGAACGAGAAAGUGGAGCAAUCCACGAGUAAAGUGGCGCACGGGUGAGUAACACGUGACUAACCUACCCUUGAGUGGGGGAUAACCUAGGGAAACCUGGGCUAAUACCGCAUAAUACCUACGGGUCAAAGGAGCAAUUCGCUUAAGCGAGGGGGUCGCGGCCGAUUAGUUAGUUGGCGGGGUAAUGGCCCACCAAGACGAUGAUCGGUAUCCGGCCUGAGAGGGCGCACGGACACACUGGAACUGAAACACGGUCCAGACUCCUACGGGAGGCAGCAGUGGGGAAUUUUGCGCAAUGGGGAAACCCUGACGCAGCAACGCCGCGUGGAGGAUGAAGUCCCUUGGGAUGUAAACUCCUUUCGAUCGGGACGAUUAGUGACGGUACCGGAAGAAGAAGCCCCGGCUAACUUCGUGCCAGCAGCCGC
rnacentral:rRNA from 1 species